AUGAGGUCAAGGAUCCAUGUCUUCAUGUGCCUAUUGCUCUGUGUCUCUGGUAUCUGUUGUGACAUUGUGAUGACCCAGUCUCCAGUUUCUCUGGCAGUUUCUACUGGAGAUAGUGCCAUCAUCUGCUGUAAGUUCAGCCAGAGUCUUCUAUACAGUGGUACCAACAAGAAUAUUUUAAGCUGGUACCAGCAGAAACCAGGACAAACUUCCAAACAUCUCAUCUAUUGGGCAUCCUCUCGGGUAUCUGGAAUCCCAGACCGGUUCAGUGGCAGUGAGUCUGGCACGGAUUUCACUCUCACUAUCAGCAGCACGCAGCCUGAAGAUGUGGCAAGUUAUUACUGUUGGCAGGGUAUUAGUGCUCCUCCCACAGUGAUUCAGCCUGGAACAUAA